CUUUCCUGGCUGGAGUCCCAGUCCAACCUGUUCUGCUGCACUACCCCAACAAACUGGAUACUGUGCGCUGGACCCACAGGGGAACUACCUGGGUUGAGGCAUUGUGGCACAC